UACAGAGGUCUCAAGCGUUGUUCGGAUUCAUUGGGCGUAAAGGGCGCGUAGGCGGCGCGACAAGUCACUUGUGAAAUCUCUGAGCUUAACUCAGAACGGCCAAGUGAAACUGUUGUGCUAGAGUGCAGAAGGGGCAAUCGGAAUUCUUGGUGUAGCGGUGAAAUGCGUAGAUAUCAAGAGGAACACCUGAGGUGAAGACGGGUUGCUGGGCUGACACUGACGCUGAAGCGCGAAAGCCAGGGGAGCAAACGGG
rnacentral:rRNA from 1 species